GUGGGGAAUAUUGGACAAUGGGCGCAAGCCUGAUCCAGCCAUGCCGCGUGAGUGAUGAAGGCCUUAGGGUUGUAAAGCUCUUUCACCGAUGAAGAUAAUGACGGUAGUCGGAGAAGAAGCCCCGGCUAACUUCGUGCCAGCAGCCGCGGUAAUACGAAGGGGGCUAGCGUUGUUCGGAUUUACUGGGCGUAAAGCGCACGUAGGCGGUUUGUUAAGUCAGAGGUGAAAUCCCGGAGCUCAACUCCGGAACUGCCUUUGAUACUGGCAAGCUAGAGUCCGGAAGAGGUAAGUGGAACUCCUAGUGUAGAGGUGGAAUUCGUAGAUAUUAGGAAGAACACCAGUGGCGAAGGCGGCUCACUGGUCCGGUACUGACGCUGAGGUGCGAAAGCGUGGGGAGCAAACAGGAUUAGAUACCCGUGUAGUCC
rnacentral:rRNA from 1 species